rnacentral:rRNA from 1 species
UACGGGGGGGGCAAGCGUUGUUCGGAAUUACUGGGCGUAAAGGGCGCGUAGGCGGCCUUCUAAGUCGGACGUGAAAUCCCUCGGCUUAACCGAGGAACUGCGUCCGAUACUGAAAGGCUUGAAUCCGGGAGAGGGAUGUGGAAUUCCAGGUGUAGCGGUGAAAUGCGUAGAUAUCGGGAGGAACACCGGUGGCGAAGGCGGCGACCUGGGUUGACACUGACGCUGAGGCGCGAAAGCGUGGGGAGCAAACAGG